UGGGGAAUAUUGCGCAAUGGGGGGAACCCUGACGCAGCCAUGCCGCGUGAAUGAAGAAGGCCUUAGGGUUGUAAAGUUCUUUCGGUAUUGAGGAAGGUUGAUGUGUUAAUAGCACAUCAAAUUGACGUUAAAUACAGAAGAAGCACCGGCUAACUCCGUGCCAGCAGCCGCGGUAAUAUGGAGGGUGCGAGCGUUAAUCGGAAUAACUGGGCGUAAAGGGCACGCAGGCGGUUAUUUAAGUGAGGUGUGAAAGCCCCGGGCUUAACCUGGGAAUUGCAUUUCAGACUGGGUAACUAGAGUACUUUAGGGAGGGGUAGAAUUCCACGUGUAGCGGUGAAAUGCGUAGAGAUGUGGAGGAAUACCGAAGGCGAAGGCAGCCCCUUGGGAAUGUACUGACGCUCAUGUGCGAAAGCGUGGGGAGCAAACAGGAUUAGAUACCCUGGUAGUCCACGCUGUAAACGCUGUCGAUUUGGGGGUUGGGGUUUAACUCUGGCGCCCGUAGCUAACGUGAUAAAUCGACCGCCUGGGGAGUACGGCCGCAAGGUUA
rnacentral:rRNA from 1 species